CACGUGUAAUGUUUCUUUUUUGUAAGCAAACCACGCGUACCACUGAUGUUCAUCUACGAUUUCUCCAACGUCCUCUACUCUCAGCCCAGAAGCAAUAUGGCAAUCUUCUCUUUCUUCUGCUACCACUCUUCUCCGGCUCCUUCAAGAACAACUACGUUGUUGCUCUGUCAUGUCCACAUUUACGUUCUAUGCUCAAGUUCAGACUUCAGAUUAUCUCAACUUUCUUCUGGGCUUCACUCUCACUCCUAUAAAGUGUAAAUCUCUUUGCUUUGUCAUUUAUCCUAUCUGUUCUGAUUAUACUUUUAGUUUGGUUUCUCUUCCAUUGUUGCUUCUAUUGCUCCGCUCAUUCUGGUUAGUUCCGUUUAAAUUUCCUCCUCUUGCUUGGUUUAGUUGGAUAAUCUUGCACACGCAUGCAUCUGCAAUUGAGUUUUUUUUUAAUUUCUUAAUUUGAGUUCCAAAUUGACUCUGGUGUGUGCUUUAUUCUACUCAAUUGUGGUGAGUUUUACUAUAUUCUUAUAAUUCUUUUAAUGCACCCGAUUAUUGCUAAUGAGAUUAUGGUGGGUAUAUGGCAGUUUCUCUAAUCUUUUGGAUAGUUUCUUAUGACUGUAUCCAAUUUGUAUUGAUGGUGUUUGAUAAUAUGCCUAAAUCAGUUGAUUUUUUUUAAUUGUUUUUCUCUUUUGACAUAUGUUCUGCAACUGCACACAUUAGUAGACUCGAUUGGCUGAGCACAUGCAUGUCCAGAAUUGGCUUACAAAUGAAAGUUCUACCCAUUUUCUCUCCUCCAAUACUCAUCUUUUUCUCAAGUAAAACCUCUUACCAACCUUUGUUUCUCAGUCUCUUGAUAUUUCAUUUGGGUAUUCAUCUGUGUUUUUAUUUGUAUAUUUUAUCCUGUUAUCAUUUUGGUAUUUCAAAUAUCAAGAAGCAUAAAUUUUUCUUCAUUCCUGAUGUUAUAUUUUUGGUUCCAUUGUGGGGUAAAUUUGCUAGCUUUGGGAUAAGCGAAUCGUGUUAGCUCUUGGUUAAAUCGAAAAAGUCAUCUUUAUUAAAGGACAUGUACAACUAUACCAAUGAACGAUAUGAGAAUUUUAUCAAUUGUAAAUAACCUUAUCGACUGCAAAUGAUGUCUUUUAAUAUAUGUGCUCUAUCAAGAGGCUUUCACUGUACUGGAAAAUGAAACUGUAUGAAAGAGAUGAUGACUAUGAGGACAAAAAUAGUCAUAUUGAAAAGGUUGUUAAACCAUACAUGUCAAUUGCUUUGGAUUUAGACAUUAAUAAUCUUGCUGUGCAUGGACCUGAGUUAGCACUCUAUUUGUUUAUGGGAGAUUUUAUUGUAAGAUAUAACCUGUAAUUUACAUAUGUUUCAUGUUGAAUUGGGGUA